rnacentral:rRNA from 1 species
CAGGUGGUGCAUGGUUGUCGUCAGCUCGUGUCGUGAGAUGUUGGGUUCAGUCCCGCAACGAGCGCAACCCUUGCCCUUAGUUGCCAGCGGGUGAUGCCGGGCACUCUAAGGGGACAGCCGGUGAAAGCCGGAGGAAGGUGGGGAUGACGUCAAAUCAUCAUGCCCCUUAUGUCCUGGGCUACACACGUGCUACAAUGGCCGGUACAAAGGGCAGCGAACCCGCGAGGGGGAGCCAAUCCCAAAAAGCCGGUCUCAGUUCGGAUCGCAGGGGCA